rnacentral:misc_RNA from 1 species
CGCCCCCAGGUCAAGCACGCUAAAGCCCAGCACCCUCAUCCUCCCGAGAACGAUCAUGCCCCAGACGAUCACCCGCGGUUACAAGGCCCUCCUCGACGAGGCAAACGGCAAGGUCGAGACCGUGCCGGCCGCCGACGCCACGGCGCUGCACGGCCGCGACGAUGUCGUGUUCGUGGAUCUGCGCGACCCGCGCGAGCUCGAGCGCGAGGGGCGCAUCCCCGGCGCCGUGCACUGCCCGCGCGGCAUGCUGGAGUUCUGGAUCGAUCCGGACAGCCCCUAUCACAA